GGACUGUGGCAGGGGCCUUCUUAUGCUAUGCCACUAUUAUCCAGGGUGUCCUAAGCCAGAAUUGGCUUUGGGAACAAGUAAGCAUGCAGACAAUGAUUUCUUCACUGUGCUGCUUCAAGAUCAUAUUGGUGGUCUCCAAGUACUCCAUGAAGACAAAUGGAUUGAUGUGCCUUGUUCUCCUGGGGCUUUAGUGAUUAACAUUGGUGAUCUUUUACAGGUUAAUCCGUUGUCACUCCGACUCUUUAUUUUCCUUAAAGCACUCAUGUCUUGAAAGCUAGUGAAUAUUUGGGAAUUUUCAACUUAUUUUUUCAGCUUAUUUCGAACGAUGCUUUCGUCAGCGUGGAGCAUAGAGUGCUGGCAAACUCGGACGGACCAAGAGUUUCAGUGGCAUGUUUUUUCAGCACUUCACUCAAGUCGGACCCGGUACUGUACGUAUCAAGGAACUGUUAUCAGAAGGGAAUCCACCAAAAUACAGGGAAACCACAGUGAGAGAUUAUGUUAUAUACUCCAAUGGAAGAGGGCUUGAUGUUGAUGGUACUUCUCCCUUGCUGAAUUUCAGGUUAUGACCCCAUGAUAUGAAAUAUCAGCUUAAGAAUGAAUAAUUUGGUAGAUUUCUUAUGACUGAACUGUGUAUUGGGCAUAUCUGGUUGGAUCUAUGAUUUAGAAUUUAUGAUGUUAUCAUAAUCAAUUGUGAUAAAUAUUGUUAUCAGUUUGUAAUCACUAUUUAAACUCACAAUCUGUCACUAUAUUGGAAGUAGCAUGCAUAACAUGACAUCCUCCUAAUAAAUAUAUCGGUAGAAUAAUUUUUAAAAGGGUAAAUGUAUCAUUUUGUACCUGAGUUUGACUUCAAGAUUCAUUUUGAUACUUGAGAUUUUUUUCAGUGUAGUAGUUGAGUUUGGCUACAAGGUUCGAUUUGGUGCCCUGAUGAAUGUUUGAUACUUGUACUCUAAUAGAAACACAUAGAUAUUUAAAAUUGGGACAAAGAAAACCCAGCUUGUAACAGCUUAAUUUUCAGUGGUAUCGGGAAUAGAGAUUUGAGAUCACUAAAUCUGACGGGUGAGUUGAAAUUUAAUAAAUUAAUACCUAUGAGUCAAAUGUGAAUAUAAAAGCAUUUUUUAAUUAGUGAAUUUGGUGAUUUAAAAGAAUUAAUUAGGUAAAUUGGGUCGAGAAUGAGGUAUCGAGACCUCAACUACAUAAAUCGAGCCAUAAAUAUUUUUAGAAAUAUUUAUGGAGUGUUGGUGAGGUAGUAAUAAAAUUUAGUCAGAAAAUUUUGACGUUUGGGUGGUUAAUUAAAUAAAAAGGACUAAAUUGGAAAAGGUGUAAAAGUUGCUAAAAGGAUUAAAUAGCUCAAUUGUCAAAUGAGGAAGGACCUAAAGUGAAAAUAAGCCCAAAGGAGAUAUUUUAGCCGACAAUAGCUGAGAAAAAUCAGGAAAUUGGUGAAAUAAGGGCAAAAUUGGAAACUUGACCAAAUUGGCUAAAUAAAAAUGGGACUAAAUUGGAAUAUCAAGAAUUUUCUUCAUUUCUCUUCAUAUUCUUCAGCUGAAAAACAGCCAUGGAGGAGGGUUCAAGCUGGUUUUCAUACUCUAGCUUCAUGUAAGUUUAAUUCUUGCUUUCUCCUUGAUAUUUUUAUGUUUUUCGACUUUUACAAUUGGGUCCAACUUACUAUUUCAUUAGUUUGUGAUUCCAUGUCUAAUUUUUGAAGUUGUUAUGGAUGAGUGGUGGAAGUAUAUGAUGAUUUGGCAUGGAAUUAGAGCUUUAAAUUGUUUAUAUUCUGAUUUUAUUGAAAGAAUUGAAUAGAAAGUGAAUGUUUGGGACCUAAUUGUAAAAGGGUUUGAAGUUAGAGUUUUAUGUAGAAAUUCUGAAUCUCAAUAGUUAUGAAAUAACUUAUAAUGUCUAUAAAAAAUAUUAAUUGAUAAAAUUAUCUUAAUUUAGGGGUUAAUUGAGCAAGGACUGAAUUGUAUGAAUUGUGAAAUUUGGGGUAAAAUGGAAAUCAACAUUUUGCACUAAAACUGUUUUGGGCAGCAGCAGUAGUUUAACUUUGAAAAAUCACAAAAAAUUGUAGAAAUCGAAUUAUAGGGUGAAUAAAAUAUGAAAUUAAAGCUUAUCGAGUUUAGUUUCUUAUAAAAGAAAUUAUGUAAGCAAUUGAAUUGUAAAUCAUGAGAUACAAUAACUUUUGUGAGACAAGGUCAAAAUACUUUCGGGUUCCCCUGUUCUGAAUUUGGAAAAUCAUAAAAAAAUGGAUAAAAAUAAUUAGAGGCUUAAAUUUAUAUGUUUAGAAUUCUGAAUGAGUCUAUUUUCAAGAGAAACAAACGAGGACAUCAUUCGAAUCUUGUACGAGAAGAUAAUUAAUUUUUAGUGAAGAAGGGUCGGAACUGUUAGACAGCAAAAUAGGGGAGACUUCAAUGAAUAAAUUUUAUUAAUUAGCCCAACCAAAAAUUAUGAAAUUUUUAUGGUAAGAAGACAUACGAGUCUAGUUUCUGGGAAAUUUUAUGGAUCUUAAUUUGGAGUUCUGUUGAUCAAGAUAAAAAUAAUUUAGUGACUAUGAUACAGAUGGACAACUUGAAUAUUCACAUAAGUAGAUAGUGAAAAUUAUGGAUAAUGUUACCUACAAGUGUGUUGUUUAUACUAAGGGUGUGGAUGGAAAGGAGGAGGAGGAAAAUAUAAAAAAAUAUAUGAAUGAAUCGUGUAUAAAUUGAUCACAUGCCCGAUUAUAAUCGAUAAGUGUUGGAUUAGAAAUGAUAUAAUGUUUUAUUUGGUAUAUUUAUUAUGAAAUUAUGAUUAUCGUUAUAAUACAAAAAUUUAACUUGUGAGUUUAUAUGGAUAAAUUUUAGUGAUUAUUUGUUAAUUUUAUGAAUUUCAUGAUGUGUUAUUUCAUAUGUGUUGAUGAUAAAAUCGUGAAUAAUGUAAAAGCAUGAAAAUUGAAUAAAUGAUCAAAUUGAGCAUUUCAGUUCAGUGACAAAGAUGAAUUGAAGGAAAAGACCAUGGUUGGACCAUGGCAGCAAGUGAUAAGUGAUAGCUUCGACUACAUUUAUCUGAUCAAGGAAAAGUGAAAGUGAUUUCGGCUACACUUAUCUGAUCAAUGACAAAUGAUAAGUGAAAGUGGUAGCUUCAGCUACCUGAUCAGUGAAAAGUGGUAGUUCCGGCUACCUGAUCAGUGAAAAGUGAUAGCUCCGGCUACCUGAUCUGUGAAAAAUGGUAGCUCCGGCUACCUGAUCAGUGAAUAGUGGUAGCUUCGGCUACAAGUGACAAGUGACAAGUGAUUUCCGUAUAAGACCAUAUCUGGGAUAUGGCAUCGGUGUGAUAUAUGCUACUGUAUAAGACCAUAUCUGGGAUAUGGCAUCAGUGAGAUAUGUGAUUCGUGUAAGACCAUAGCUGGGCUAUGGCAUCGAUAUAUGAAUAUGUGUAAGACCAUAGCUGGGCUAUGGCAUCAUUAUGUGAAGAUGUGUAAGACCAUAGUUGAACUAUGGCAUCGAGAAAACGAAGUACUCAAUUUCGUAAGACAUUCACUAAUUUGACAAAGUUUGGUAAGUGUUACAUGGAAUUAUGUGAUACAAGGAAGUAUGAGUUGAUAAGAUACGAGUAUAGAACUUGGUUGAUAAAUGAAUUCAUUUGUGAUUAUAUAAUUGUUCAUCUUGAACGUACUGUCCAAAUGUAUUGAUAAUUCAAAUGUUUUAAUGAAUAAAAUUCCGAUAUGGAAUAAAUUGAACACGAGAAAAAUAAUUAUGAAAUUGAACUCGGAAUUCAUGAAAAUGACGGUUAUUGAUAUAUGGAGACAUGGGACAUUGAUAUAUGAAUACGGAAAAUGUUUGAUAAAUGUGUUUAUUCAUAAUUAUAGAAUUAUAUACCUCAUGUGUACUAUUUGCAUAAAGAUGAUAUUUCAAAUACUUUGGUUAUUUAAGCUUAAAUAGAAAAUAGCCUGAAAUCCAGAUAAGUUGUUAUGAAAAUAUAUUUAGAUUACAGAGAUAUGGCUGAUAUAUGUUGUAUGAUUACAUAACGUGAAAUUGUGUAUAUAUAUGAGAAAUUGAAUGAGAAUUAAGCUCAUACACGUUUCUUGUUAUUUAUAUGAAGUGUACGACUGACAAGGGUGAUGAAGUUAUAAACAGAGAGUUACACGGGUUGAAAACACGAGCGUGUGACUCUCCAAAGUGUGAAAAUUUUCUAAGUGUUGUAAAAGUUUCAUAUGUUUACGGUUUGGUCCCAAACCACCCUGAAUGUAUGUUUUGGGCCCCGUAGGCCCAUAUAAGGGACGCUAAACAUAUGUAUGAAAGUUUUUAAUUUAGAAAAAAAUUUUAUGGCUGAUUUUUUUUUAAUAUGAUUGAUCAUAUUAAGUUUGGUAAUGCCUCAUACCCUAUUCUAGGCUCGGAAUACGGGUAGGGGGUGUUACACAGCUACCAAAUUGAAUGUUAACCUCAGGUACCAAAUUAGGACAAAAAAAAACCUCAAGUAUCAAAUUGAAUAAAAAUGCAAGUAGCAAAGUGAAUAUUAAAGCCAAACUUAGGUACCAAAUUGAAACAAAAAUAAAUUCAAAUACCAAAUUAAGCAUUAAAACUAAACUUAAGUACCAAAUAGUAUAUUAACCCUUUUUAAAAAAAAUUAAUACAUGAACACGUUACGAGUUCAUAAUAAAACACAUUAGGCCCAACCAACUUUUCAAACUGAAAAUUCAAGUCAAAUUUAGCUUUUCCCAUUUCGAAAGUCAUUUUGAGUGAAAAUUUGAUUGCAGUUGUAAGUCAACUAAAAAUCCAAUAAAGAUAAAUGUACCUAUCAAUUAAUAGUAUAACUACGGUGAGUAAAGAUAUUAUUCCCACGAAGACUAAAAGUACUAGUAAUUACCGUAUUUCUAUUAUUUAACAGAUAAAUUGGAGUGAUUGAUUAAAACUAAAAUUAACUAAAUUAAUUAACUAAAGAACACAACAAAUAACAAAUGAAGAAAAUAAUCGAGUAAACAACCAAGAAGCGAAACAGUAUCCAGGAAAUUCACUUAGUAUUUUGAUAUGUAGAAAUCUGUAAAUUAUGCUAAUAUCUCUCUUCAAGACUAAAAGCAACUGACUCUAAGUUGAUUAAUUGAAAUUUCUUUCUAAUUAAAAUCCCUAUUAUUGCAUUAACUAUAUCUAUAGAUUCUCUUAUUCAAUUUGACUCUAAUCAGGCAGAUUUAUGUCGUCUUAUUUCUAGGAUUGUAUACAACUCCACUCAAAUACGCUAGAUCUACUCUUAAACAGAUUUGAUUUGACUUUAAUCCGGCAGAUUUAUGUCGUCUUAUUUCUAGGAUUGUAUACAACUCCACUCAAAUACGCUAGAUCUACUUUUAAACAGAGUCUAUUCCUCCUCUGAUUUAAGCACAUCAAACAUGGAUCAAUAAUCUAGAAAUAUCUAACCAAGAAUUAAGCACACAUAAUUGAGAAUAAGAUUUAAGUCUUUAUUGCGUAAAAUAAAAAUCAAACGAUAGAAUUCAUCAUAGGGUUCACCUCCCCUAGGUAUUUAGAAAAUUAGUUCAUGAUAGCAAAUAAAUAUAUCCCAAAGACAGUAUAACCACAAGAAAUAAAAAAAAAACUCAUAAUAAACUUCAAAGAAAUCAAAAGGAGAUCUUCAAUAUUGAUGGAAAUCUGCUUCAGAGUCGGCUUCAAUAGUGUUUUCUGAGUUUUUCUUUAGUAUUCUAUGACGGCUCACUCACAUCUUCUUAUAUUUGUCAUAUAUAGGUCUUAGAAUGCCUGAAAAAUCCUAAAAAUCACAUUUUCAAGCUGUUUUGAGUGUAAUUUGCGAUUUCCACAUGGUCUGGCACAUGAUCGUGUGGCAGCCAGUGUGGCUCACAUGACCAUGUGUCCAAUUCGUGUGGCUCCUAAAACUUGCUCCGAUUUUCACUCUUUUUGCUCUCAAAUGCUCUCUAAGUAUAGAAAAAUAAAUUUAAAGGAUUAGAAGCAUAAAAUUCAUCAUUUUAAAUCGAAUAAUCAAUAAGGCUAAAACAUGUUACUUUUGACAUUUAUCAAAAUUUUAAAAUAUCUAAUAAUUAAAUAAUGAAUUUCAAAAUUCAUAAAAUGUAUAUAACUCAUCUAGAAUUUUUUUUUGUAACAAAAUAUGUACAAUCUUAAUAAAUAUAAUUGAAAGAUUUGAUAUAAAUAUUAAAAUCACAUUAGACACUAAUAACAAUAAAUUAUAGGAAGAAAUAUUAUUGAACUAAUUAAUUAAAUUAAUUAAAUAAUUUUCUUAACCUAAUUUUAGUUUCAUCAAAAUCAUAAUAGUUUUAUCUUACUAUGAACAAAUGAAUUCAAUCAGUGAAACUAUGAUAAUUUAAUUAAUUCAAUCUCCACUUUAAAUUUCAAUUAUUUUAUAAUUUAUUUAUAAUUUAAAGAAAUUAAUUAAUUAUCAAGUAAUCUCUUGUUCAUAAUGAGAAAAUGCAUUCACUACAAGUAGUGAUAUUGUAACACCCCUAACCCGUAUCCGUCGUUAAAAUAGGGUUUCAGAGCAUUACUGAGUAGCCGUAAUCUAAAUCAAUCAUUCUUAAACAUUUCAAAAAUCAUAAUAUAAUUCAUCAUUAACAAGCACAGAGACCCUUAUUCGAGCCUUGGAGGGCUUAAAAUUACUUUAGAAUUGAUUUGGGACUAAAUCGGGAACAUUUGAAAAUUUUAGGAAAAAGUUAGAAAAAUUUUAAUUGCAGGGUUCAUACGGCCGUGUGGGCAUUUGAGGUAGAGAUACUGAUUGUCGUGAAACUAAUUAAAUAUUUGACUUAAGGCAAGCGCACCUAUCGAACAGUAGUAUAGUUAUGGUGAGACCGAAAAUAUCGUAUCCACGAGGACUAAAAGUACUAAUAAUUACUAUCUUUUUAUUAUCUAGCCUAAGAAUUAAAGGAUGUUUUUAAACUAAACUAAUUUUCUAAUUUAACUAAGAUUACGACAGAGAUGAAAGUUGGAAAAUACUUUAGAAAAAACCAAUGGAGAAGACAAUACCCAAGAAAGAAUCCACCUAGACUUCACUUAUUACCUUUGACUUAGACGAUUUAUUCACUUGACUUAUUCCGUAGAAAUCCCUGAUUUAUGUUAUUAUCCUUUUCGAGACUAAAAACAACUGACUCUAGGCUGAUUAAUCGAAAUCUCUUUCUAAUUAAAACCCCUAUUAUCGCAUUAACUCGAUCUAUGGAUUCCCUUAUUAGAUUUGACUCUAAUCCGGCAUAUUUAUGUCGUCUUAUCUCUAGGAUUGCAUGCAACUCUGCUUAAUUAUGAAUGAUCUACUCUUAAACAUGGACUUUUCCUCCAUUGAAUAAGCACAUCAAAAACCUGAAUUAAUAUCCUGGAAUAUUAAAGCAUGUAACACCCCCUACCCGUGUCCGACGCCGGGACCGGAUACGAGACAUUAUCGGACUUAAACAUGCACACAGAUGAAAACCAAGUCAUAAAAUUUUAUUUAAUUCAAAACUGUUCAGACACAUGCAUAACGUCCCUUAUUUGGGUCUACGAAGCCCAAAACAUACUUUGGAAUAGUUUCGGGACUAAACGAGAACUUACGAAAACCUGGAAAAUUUCACGCAACAACAAGUCUUUCAUUUUAAACAUAUUUCACUUUAACCAACAUCCAUGACUAUCAACCUCAACACAAGAUAUUAGCACAUACAUGAGUUCAAUAACAUUCAAUAUAUUCUAUUUUAAUACCAAUGUAUCAUUUGCCUACCAUCAUGUAUAUAAUAACAUUCUUACAUUAGCUAGAACUAAAUAUGCCAAAUCUUAUUCUCGUUUAAUACCAUCUUACUGUGGUUACCAAUUUGUCCAUUAAACAUUCAUGUUCAAGGCAUCAUUACUUAUUUCCAUUUAAUUCAUGAUCCAUAGGUAUGCUUUCAACUUACCUAAUGUAUUACCAAUCAUGCACAACAAACAAAGUUAACUACCUCAUCAUACCAGAAACAUAAAACAUGACAUGAUUAAUUAAGCUUACAAACCAUCAUAAAUAUGGGCCACAUCCCAUGGCCAUAUACUAUAACUCAACGUAGAUCAAUAGGUUAGGCCAAAUCAUAAUAAUAAUACAUGUCAUAAAACUAGCUUUCUAUACAUGCCACUCACUUGAUAUUUCUAUUAUUUGAAUUAAUUCUCCCAAAAGUGAUAGCUUGAUAAUAUGAUUCUACCUCCGACGAUCUCCAACCCCGAGCCAACCUGCCAAAACUGAAGAGGUGGAGAGGAGGGGUAAGAUUUACGCUUAGUAAUUCCAUAUGAAAUUAACAAGCAAUUACCAACAUGCUUUUUAAGAUAAAACAUCAUAAUUGUACAAUUUACAUAUAUUCUGGUUAAGCUGUUUUAUCGAGUUAUAGUUACUAAAUAAUUUAUAUCUAGAGCUACGAAACUCCAAAUUAAGUUCUAUUAAUUUUACUUGAAUCUAGACUCAUAUCCCUUUCUCCCAUAAAAUUUUAAGAAUUUUUUACUUAGCCAAUUAGUACAGUUUAUUCAUUAAAGUUUCCCCUGUUUCGCUAUCCAAUAGUUCUGACCCCUCUUCACUAAAAAUUAUUUUUCUCAUAGUACAAAAUUCGAAUAAUUCUCUCAUCUAUAUUUCUAGAGAAUAGACUCAAUAAGGAUUCUAAUCAUAUAAAUUUAACUCAUAAUUUUUUUUUACAAUUUUUAAUGAUUUUCUCAAAUCAGAACAGGGGAUCACGAAGUUAUUCAGACUCUGUCUCACAACAAUUUAAAUAUCUCAUAAUAUAGAAUUCAAUUCCAUGCACCAUUUCCUCUAUGUGAAGCUAGACUCAUUAGGCUUUAAUAUCAUAUUUUAUCCUGCCCUUAACUCAAUUUCUACAAUUUAUGGUGAAUUUCCAAAUUUACACUACUGCAGUAACCCAAAACUACCAAGGCUAAAUUUACUCAAUCACAACUAUAAUUCACUAAAUCCAUACAAUAUCAUUUCAUCCAUCAUGGAAAGAACACAAAAUUAUGCUUCAUAGGCAUAGAUCCAUAAUCUCAAUGUCAUCAAGUAUCAAGACUUAUUCCUCAUCAUGUCAUUUUCAUAGUAUUCACCAAUACUAUAUACAUCAUAUAUCAAGGCAUCAGACAUAAGUUUAGUGUACAUACCUGUACAACUUGUAAUUUAACUCAAGAACAUACUCACUUAAUGGCUUGCCUCAUUGGGACCAUUAUCGAAUACUCCGUCAAAUUACCCUUUGAACACUUAGAAUAUAAUCGGAUACACGGAAGCCCGCAGCUAGACAAACUCAAUAGCCUGUUUAUGUAGCAAAGCAACCAUAAUCUCACCCAUAAUGAACUCGGAACGUAACUCAACGAGCUCGGGUGUUCGCAUCCAUAAUGAAAUCGGAACACAACUCAACGAGUUUGGAUGUCUCAUAAUUCUCAUGAACUCGGACCACAACUCAACGAGUUCGGAUCUCAAUUUCUUAGUGACAAGUCACUUGUAUCCUAACCUAUUCCUAAGGUUCAAACGGGCUCUUUCCUUGAUCAUACGCCUUUGCCAUCUUUCUCAUUAUGUCAAUAUCGAUACUCCGAUGGCAACUCAUAUUUUUCAAGUAUUCCACAUAAUUUGUAUAACAAUUCAACAAUAAUCAUAGAAUGCAACAAUACGUAAACAAUAAUCAUCAUACUAUUAUCAAGACAUCAACAACAUAUAGUAAUGUUGCACCAUUUACAUAAUAUCAAAUUAUUCACAUAUAUGUAUAUUUACAAUUCAUGUAAUAUCAUAACAUUAACAUUAAAAUACACAUUGCAUUAUUAAAAUCAUAUGAACUUCCUCGUAUGCGAAAAUAGUUAUUUUUACCAUUUUGUCCACAAAUUGGUAUUUUGCCGAUUUUAGCCCGAAUUUCGAUUUUCCUUGCUCUAUCAUUUUAAAUAUAGCCUAAUUAGGACUCAUAUUAUUCAAAUCAACCCAAAAUCAUAUUUUGGAAAAAUUACAAUUUUGCCCUUAAACUUUCGCAUAUUUACGCUUUUUCCUCAAAUCUCGUAAAUUAAACUUCAUCCUAUUUUAUUAUGUUUUAUGAUAUUCUGAUCAUUUUUUUCCUUCUAUAGCAACAUCCAAUUCUCACUCUAACAUGUACUUAUGAACAUUAGGUAUUUUUACCAAUUAUGUCAUUUUACUCGUUUUCACGUAAAAUCACUCAGCAAAAGUCGUUUAUCUAACACCCAACCUUCAUUUUCUAUCAUUAGAAAUCAAAAUACAUGCAUAUUAUUCAUGGGUAAAUUUUUAGACAUGAACCUUAGCUCAAAUUAAUGGUAGAAAUAAGUAGAACAAGUUACCGGGAUUUCAAAAAUGUAAAGAACUUUAAAAAUGGGGCAAAAAUGGACUUACAAUCAAGCUUGGAAGUUUUAAAAACCCUAGCCAUGUCUUCCAUCUCCAUAUACGGUUAUGGCAUGAGAAAAAUGAAGAAGAUGACAUCUUUUUCUUAAUUAUUUUAGCUUUAUUAACCAAUUUACUAAAAUACCCUUAAUGAAAAAUAUAUAAAAACAUACUAUGCCAUGUCCAUUUUUGUCCACUAAUUACAAGAUGGGCUAUUUACCAUUUAAGGACCCCCAAUUUAAAAACCCAUUACUCACAAGUACUUAGUACCUUUGUAAACUAGAAUACACAUUCUGCAACUUUUACAAUUUAGUCCUUUUGACUAAAUUGAGUGCCCGAGUGUCAAAAUUUUCGAACGAGAUUUUCACAAAAUUAUUUCGUAAAAUCGUAAACCAUAAAAAUAUAAUAAAAAAAAAAUUUUCUUCAUCGAAUUUGUGGCCCCGAAACCACUGUUCCGACUAGGUCCAAAAUCGGGAUAUUACAAAGCAAGAAUUAAAACUCACAAUUAAGAAUAAGAACAAGUAUCUAUCAUAUAAAUCAAAGAGUAAUAAGAUUCGUCUUAGGUUUCAUCUCCCUUAGGUAUUUAGGGAGUUUAGUUCGUAAUAUUAAUAGAAAACAUCUCAAAGUUUGGAAAACAACAAAACAUAAAGAAACCCAAAGAACUUCUAGGAAAUUGGAUGGAAAUCUUCAGUCUUGAUGUAGAUCUUGGCUUCGAGGUGAUUCCGAUGGCUAUUCUCGAUUAUUUUCUACCUCCAACUCUGUGUGUCCCCCCAAUCCUUUUCUAGGGUGUUUAUAUAGGCUUUAGAAUGCUUCCAAACCCUCAAAAGUGGCCUUUUCCAAGUAGAACUAGACUUGGGCUCGACAGGGACAUGCUGUGUGCCACACCCGUGUGUAAGUGCUCAAACCGUGUGCAAUUCUAACUUGGAUUUAUGUUGACACGGCCACGACACACGGGUGUGUGGACUGCCCGUGUGCCUCACACGGGCGAGUGGUUUACCCAUCUGGAAGUGCUUAGGUCGUGUCUAACACUAUUUUAAGCCAAAUUUGUCCAUUUUGGCUCGUUUCUCGCUCUUUUUGUUACCCUAGGCUCUCCUGAGUAUAAAAACAUUAAAUUAAAGGAUUAGGAGCAUCAAAUUCACUAAAACCAAGGAAAAAAAUCAUUCCUAAGUAUGCCAAGCAUGGGGUAAAAAUAUGUAUAAUUUACGAUUUAUCAGACACACGGUCGUGGCCCAACCCGUAUCCAUACCCGUGUAACUCACUGACUUGGGUCACACAGCCAAGCCACACGCCCAUGUGCCAAGCCGUGUACCUUUCGAAAUGGCCUCGCACACCCGUGUGCUAGUCGUGUGUCUCAUACGGCCAAGUCACACGCCCGUGUGUCUGGCCAUGUGGACCUAAAAUGUGUCUUAAACAACAAGUUUAACUUUUCCUACUUGCUUGGGCAUUAAGUAACACAAAAACCAUUCGUUUAACCUAUUCAAAACAUGAUCAAACACACUCAAAACAUGCCAAAACAAUCACCCUAAGUGUCUAACCAAUGUACCCUCAUUGGUACCACAUUUAUAUCAUCAAAACAUUUCAUUAAUGCAUCGUUCAAAUCCAAAUUAUAAACAUACCAAAAUCACUCCAUUUAGUCUAGUUCGUAACCACCUAAACAUCAACUAAAAUUCACAAACACCUAACCUAUCUUGGUUCAAUUAAACAUUUCAUAUUAUGGCAUCAAACGCAAACAAAUGAUUACAUAUACACCAAUCAACAUUACACUUAUAGUUUUAUUUACAAUCCAUCCACAAAAUAACUAUCAACUAGACAUCCUAGGUACAUGCCAACACAAAAGAUAAACAUCACCACAUUUGAGAUCGGGAUCGUUGUUGGAUACUGAAUCGGCAAUCAAAAGUGAAGUGCCUAACCUGCGCAUGGAAAACAAAACCGUACUCUAAGUAAAAUUCAGUGAAAUUUCUAUAAUCUGAACAUUUAAAGACAAAAGAAAACAAUUUGCAAACUUGAAUUAUAAACACAUAUUAAUAUUUAAAAAUCACAACUACCAUAUGCCAAACCUUUGAAUUCGUACAUAAUGGCAUAUCAUUUCAUACUAUAUUCAACUUACACAUGCUAUCAUAUUUCAUUUGUUUAACAAAUGUCCCAAUUCUCAUACUUGCUAUAUAAAUAGCUUUUCACAUAUCAAACCACAUUUCAUUUUAACAAUGACAUAAUUCAACUAUAUUCAAUCAAUAAGUACAUUACUCAUAUAUCUCAUUUAUAAUCACAAACUUUUUCACCUUUCAUAUAUCAAUUCACUUUUCCAUUUCCAAUUCACAUAUUUUGUCAUUUCAAUAUUAAUCACAGAAUUUGUUAUUUAAUUACCACUAUUAACACGAAUCAGACUCGGACGGAUACACGAAUCCAACCAACACACCAGUUUGGCACCCAAUGCCUCAUCGGAUAAAUCCGAAGUAAUAAUUGCGCCCAACGUUUUAUAAAUUGACACUCAGUGUCUCAUCGGUUAAACCGAAGUAAAUUGGCACCCAGUGCCUUAUCGACUCGAAAUCCAAGAAAUACCUAAACUCUUCCUAUCUUAUGGCAUGCCAUCUAUAUCCGACUUAGCCCGAUACAACUAAUAGGGUUUAAUUUCACAUUUCAAAAACAACGAAUAUCCAAUAUCAAUUUUUCAUAUAAUCACAUAUACACAUGAAUUCAAUUCAAUUUAUAACAAUUAAUAAUCCAAUUUUCAAAAUGUCAAAUACUCACCUCAAACACUUACUGUAUGCAUUAAAUCGAAUUACAACAAUUAACAACUAGGUUCGAAUUAUAGAAAUACAAACCGUGGAUUCCGAGCUAUUCGGCGUCGAUUUUAUCCUUCCCCUUUCUAGUCGAGGAUUUCGGUAUGAAGUUAGCUAUGGAAUUAAAACAAUUAAAAUUCAUCAAUACAACUCUGUUCAAUUUCACAUUGAAUAUUUCAAUUUUUACUCAAUAUUCGCUUAAAUUCCAAUUUAGUUCCCUAAAUCAAGACUAAUUUUUAUUCUUUACAUUUAAUUCUAUAUUUUCAUGCAAAUUUCAUUUUAAACUAAAUUUAAAUCCCAAUUUUCAAUUAAACCCCUAAAUUUUGAAUUUUUCACAAUUUAGUCUCUAUUAUUCACAAUUUACAAUUUGUUCUACAAUUUAAUUCUUUUCUAUUUCUAGCUUAAAAUUUUAUCAAUUUAAUCCCUAAUACUAAAAUUAUUUAACAAUAACAAUAUUUAAAAACUUAAUCAACGCUAAAAUUACAACAUGGGUCGGGUAGACCUAAGUAUCGGGUUCCAAAAACAUAAAAAUUGCAAGAAAGGGGGACUAAAUUGACUAACCUAUUGAAAUUUGAAAGUUUGAAGCCCUUAGUUCGUGCAUCUCUCCUUUCUUCUUUCUUUCUCUUUUUCUUUCUGAAUUUUGCAUGUCUUUCUAUUUCUAUUUCUUUAUUCUUUCUUUUAAUACCUAUUUUGUUUUAUUAUACUAAUUAUUAUAUAAUACAUAUAAAUUUCAUUUUAUUAAACAUAAUAUAUAAAUUUUAUAUAUUAAAUUAUUAUAAGCUAUAAUGCACAUUAAUGCGGUCCACUAUACAUAUAUAUAUAGGUAUAAUUUUUUCUUUAAUCCUUUUAAUUAUUUUCAAAUUAUAAUUUUACUUCUACCUUAAAUGCAAUUUAGGCCUUAUACCUAAUUAGUUUUAAUUCAAAUAAAUCCGCUUAACUAGACCUGCUCAUAGGCCGGGUUACCCGGCUCGGCCCGAAGGCCACCCCGAAGGCCCGCCCGAAAUAUGGGAGGGUUUGGGCAAAAAUAUAGGCCCGAAAAAUGGGCUUGGACAAAAGAAUGAGGCCCGUUUAAAAAAUGGGUCUGGCCUCGGGUAAGGUAUUUUUGGCUUGGGCCUGGCCCGGCCCAAAUUCACUAAAUGACAAAAAAGUUCUGCUAUUUUUUUUGUUUUUGAAUGUUAUUUUCUUCUUGUUUUUUCUCUCUAUUUUGCUACCAUAUUACUAUUAGUUGCUCCUAUUAUGUUGUUAUCAUUUGGAUAUUGUAUAAAACUUAUUUUAUUAUUAAUUUUGUUAUUCUUUUAAAGGUAUUUGUUAAUUUUAUUAUUAUUUUAGAUACAUAUUUUUUAAAAUUUAUUUUUAAUUUGUUGGAAAAUAUUUAUUUUGAUUUUUUUAGUAUUUUUGAUGUAUUAUAUAUAUUUAAAAAUUAUAUAAAAUAAUAUAAAAAUAAAUACGGGCGGACCGAGCCGGGCCUGGGUUUUAGUAUUUUUAUUUGGGUCGGGCUUGGACAAAAUUUUAGGCCCAUUUUUUGGACCCGGCCCGGCCCGAGCCCAAUGAAUGGGCCUAAAUUUUUAGUUGAGCCCGACUCGAACCUGGCCCUGCCCGGCCCAUGAACACCUCUACGCUUAACCGAAACCUAAUUAACUACACAACUAACUUUGUAAAUAUUUAUUAAAAAUAUUAACGAGUCUGAUUUAUGGAAACAAAAUCCCGAGAAUGUACUUUCCGACACCCCUGACUAUCGGGUCGUUACAGAUAUAUAUGAUCUAUUUCUCUAAUUUGUUGUUUCACAUUUUCAUAUCAUCGAUUAUGCAAACCAUCAAGGUUAUACUAAGCUAGUGAAGAUAUUAAUCGGACAUAUAUAAUUAGGGCUAAAAUAAUUUGUAAUUAAGCUUCGACGCUUCAUCUAUUAAUUACAACAUUAUUUAGUCAUGGAGUCAUUCUAAUAAAGUACCAUAACUAAACUUUCCCUAUUAUAUACCAUUAAAAAAUUUAUUAUAUCAAGUGUUUGUCUAAUGACCUUGUCAUGUUUUCAAGAUAUACCAAUCCAAUUCAACAUAUUUUCAAGAUAGAUUUAUGCAUUUUUAUAAGAUAACCUCAUCACAUACCAAAACCAAGAUUUGUUAGCCAUACCAAUGGCUGACCUUACAUUCAUAUCACAUUAACAUUUACUUUAUUAGCUUAUACAUGCCAUUGAUUUCCAAAAUAAAGUUUCUUGAUAUAUCGAAAUCUUGAAGUUGAUAGUGUGAUGUGUCUCCGACCAAGUCCAACCUCCGAGCUCUUAACACUACAAAAUAGGCAAAAAGGAAAUAGGGUAAGCACUUUGUGCUUAGUAAGCUCAUGUAACAAGAAUUAUACUUACCUAAUAUUUUCAAUACAGUACAAUAAACAUUCAUAUAUCCAUUCAAUGCAUUAUUACCCUAACAUGCACAAACUUAACAUUCAAGUUAGUACAAUAAUUUCCAUGUGUCAAUAAUAUAUAUACCAUGAUUGAUGAACUCAUCAAUACCAUGAUUUCCAUUCCCUUAUUAUUUUUCCAUAUUUAUCCCGUUGAAUUUCUCAGAAUUUAGAUGGACUUUCAGAGGUAUACUUUUAGUGUACAAUUUCUGGGUCCGUCAAUUCAUAUUUAUGUGUGCAAAUUUCCAUUUCAGAGAGCACACUCUCGCGAACCUCAUCUUUACAGCGGGAUUACCAGUCCAGGCUAAAUCCCCUGUAAUAUAAACUAAUAGAGCAUUGUCGAGAUUACCAGUCCAGGCUAAAUCCCUUGCAACGACAAUUACUCUAAUGAGCUUGGAUCUGAAUUACCAGUCCAGGCUAAAUUCAGACCCUAAUUCAAAUUAUCUGUCCGGGAUAAAUCCAUUUUACACAUAUUCUUCGGGAGGGCUAUAUCAAGAUAGGAUCACUCGUCCGGGUUAGAUCCUUUUUACUGUCAAUUCCUUUUCAGAGAUCUAUCGAAUGUUCCUUUCAUUCAACCGAGAUUUCUCGAUACAUGUUUGUAAACAAAAAUCUACUAAUCCCGAACUUUUUCCUUUCCUCGAUCUAGCUUCGUAUUUAAAUCUGCUGGAUUCGGUGCAAAAAAUUAUGGAAUACCAGCUUAAAGAACCCCUCUUAUGGCGUUUUGGUUGAUGAGAAUGAAGAAAAAUGAAGAGAAAUCUAGAUAUUUCCUAUUUAGUCCUAUCGUUAUUUAGUUAAUUAUGCAAUAUUCCAAUUUUGCUCUUAAAUCAUCAAUUUUCCUACUCAUUUCAUACCCUUGUCGUCCAGCCCAAAUAAAUUUUAGGUCUAAAUGCCUUUUAAAUCCUUUCUCAUUAGACACUUAAGCUAUUUAAUCAUUCUAGCAACUUUUACACCUUUUCCAAUUUAGUCCUUUUCAUUUAAUUGACUACCCAAACAUUAAAAUUUUUUAACGGAAUUUUAAUACCACAUCACUAACAUUUCAUAAGUAUUUAUAAAAAUAUUUUUGACUCAGUUUUAUGAGAUCAAGGUCUCAAUUCUUUAUUUUUACCCAAUUCAUUCAAUAAUUCUUUUUUUUAACUAACACUAAAUCAGUAAAAUUUUUCUAUCGAUAUUUUAAUAUGAUUUUCCUAUCAUAUAAAUAUUCAUGCAAAAAUAUUAAAAUAAAUUUCUCUUUAAAUUGGAUUUGUGGUUACGAAACCACUAUUCCGAUAACCUUGAAUUUAGGCCAUUACAACUCUCCCUCCUUUAAGGAUUUUCGUCCUCGAAAAUCUUACCAGUAAAGAGGUUUGGGUAUUGUUUCCUCAUUGCCACCUCCAGUUCCCAUGUCGCUUCCUCAAUCCUGUGCUUUUGCCACAAUACUUUCACCAAAUUUUUCUUUUUUAUUUCUAAGCUAAUUUAUUUUCCAUGCCAAUAUCUUGACUGGUUCUUCACUGUAAGUCAUAUCUGGUUGAAUCUCCACUUCUGUUGGAGAAAUAACAUGUGAAGGAUCUGAUCGAUAUCAUCGUAGCAGAGAUACAUGAAAAACAUUAUGGAUUUUAUCAAGUUCCGGUGGUAAUGCCAAUCGAUAAGUGACCGGUCCAAUUCUUUCUAUGAUUUCAUAUGGCUCGAUAAAUCUUAGACUCAAUUUACCCUUUCGACUGAAUCGGAGAACUUUCUUCCAAGGAGACACUUUUAAAAAUACCUUAUCACCGACAUGAAAUUCAAUCUCUUUUCGUUUAAGAUCGGUGUAUGAAUUUUGAUGAUCGGAAGCUGCUUUUAAACUAUCCCGAAUAACCUUUGCUUUUUCUUCUGUUUUCCGGAUCAAAUCAACCCUAUGUAUCUUCUUUCACUGUGUAUUGUCUAAUAUAACGAUGUUCUAAAUUUUUUACCAUACAAAGCUUCAUACGGAGCCAUUUUAAUACUGGACUGAUAAAUGUUAUUGUAAGCAAAUUCAAUCAAAGGUACACAUCUCUCCCAAUUACCUUCAAACUCUAGUAUACAAUAUCAGAGCAUAUCUUCCAAUACUUGAAUUACACGCUUAGAAAUAAGACAUAAAUCGGGGAUCUCUAUUUGAUAUAAUGGAGACAUGCACUCCAUGUAGCCUGACAAUUUCAGAUAUGUGCAGUUCAGCUAGUUUAUCUAAAGAAUAAUCCAUACGUACCGGAAUAAAGUGCGCUGACUUUGUCAAUCGGUCAACAAUUACCCAAAUAGCAUCUUUUUUCCUCGGAGACAACGGUAACCCUGAUACAAAAUCCAUAGUGAUUCUUUCCCAUUUCCAUUCUGGUAUAGUAAUUGGCUGAAGUAACCCCGAAGGUACCUGAUGUUUAUCUUUAACUUGCAGACAUAUUAAACACCUUGAUACAAACUCAAAAAUAUCACGUUUCAUUCCCGACCACCAGUACUUCUUUUUCUAAUCAUUAUACAUUUUAUCACUCCCUAGAUGUACAGACAUAGUACUGCUGUGAGCCUGGCGUAGAAUCUUCUGUAUGAGCUCUGAAUUUUGAGGUACACAUACCCUACCUCUAAAUAAUAAACAACCAUCAGAACCAAUCUGAAAUUCAGAAUCAGUACCUGACUUACACUGUGCCCGUUUAACCUGUAACUUCUCAUUAUUAUUCUGAGUUUCACAUAUUUACUUUAAAAAUGUUGGUUUAGCUCUCAAUUCAGCUAGGAUUGAACCAUCAUCAGUCAAUGAUAACUGGGUAUUCAUAGCUUGUAAAGAAAAUAGAGAUUUUCGGCUCAAAGCAUCAGCUACAACAUUAACCUUACUCGGAUGGUAAUUAAUAAUCAAAUCAUAGUCCUUUAUCAGUUCAAGCCACCUGCGCUGUCUCAAAUUCAAAUAUUUCUGUGUCAUCAAAUAUUUCAAGCUUUUAUAAUCAGUAUAAAUAUGACAUUUCUCACUGUAUAAGUAAUGUUGCCAUAUCUUCAGCUCAAAUAAAAUAGGAGCUAAUUCAAGAUCAUGUACUGGGUAAUUUCUUUCAUGUGGUUUAAAUUGUCUUGAAGCAUAGGCUAUUACUUUACCUUCUUGCAUUAAGACACAACCUAAACCACUUAAUGAGGCAUUACUAUUAAAAAAAUUCCUUACCCAGUUUAGGCUGCACUAAUACUGGUGCUUUUGUUAGUAGAUCUUUCAAUCGGUUGAAAUUCUGCUGACAUUCAUCAGUCUACUCGAACUUUACAUCUUUCUGCAAUAAUCGAGUCAUUGGAGAAGCUAUCAUAGAGAAUCCCUGUACAAAUCUCCGAUAAUAACCAGCUAAACCCAAGAAACUUCUAACUUCAGAUACAUUCUUCGGUGGACUCCAAUUAACAAUAGCUGAGAUUUUACUUGGAUCUACUCUGAUGCCUUCGGCAGAUACAGUGUGUCCAAGAAAACCCACUUCUCAAAGCCAAAAUUCACAUUUACUGAAUUUAUCAUAUAACUGUUUCUCUCGUAGAAUUUGCAACACAAUUCUCAAAUGUUCUGCAUGUUUUUCUUCAUCCCGAAAAUAAACCAAAAUAUCAUCAAUGAAUACUACAACAAAUCUGUCUAAGUACGGUCUGAAUAUCUGGUUCAUCAAAUCCAUGAAUAUUGCGGGUGCAUUAGUUAACCCAAACGGCAUAACCAGAAACUCAUAAUGCCCAUACCUUGUUCUGAAGGCUAUUUUUGGCACAUCUGACUCCUUUACCCGUAACUGAUAAUAACCUGAUUGGAGAUCAAUCUUUGAAAACACUAUAGCAUCUUUCAACUGAUCAAAUAAAUCAUCAAUCCAUGGUAAUGGGUACUUAUUCUUUAUGGUUACUUUAUUAAACUGCCUGUAGUCAAUACACAAUCUUAAACACCCGUCUUUUUUUUCACAAAUAGAACCGGAGUACCCCAAGAUGAAUGACUCGGCCGGACAAAACCCCUGUCAACAAGUUCUUGCAACUGUGUCUUUAACUCCUUUAAUUCUGUAAGAGCCAUCUGGUACGGAACUAUGAAAAUCGAAGUAGUUUUCGAAAUCAAAUCUAUAAAAAAUUCCACUUCUCUAUCUGGUGGCAACCCUGGUAAUUCCUCUGGAAACACAUCAAAAAAUUCGCAUACCACUGGCACUGCUUGUAUCUUUGACUCAGAUACCUUGGUGUCAAGUACAUAAGCCAAGAAAGCAUCAUACUUUUUUUUGACAUACCUCUGUGCUGCCAUUACUGAAAUCACAUCAGAUAACCCCUCUGUUUGAUCAGAUUUAACUUGGAGCAACUCACUAUUCUGACAUUUUAGCACAAUAAAUUUCUGUCUACAAUUUACUACUGCAUCAUGCUGGGUUAGCCAAUCCAUGCCCAAUAUCACGUCAAAUUCAUCAAAUGGCAGCAACAUCAAAUCAGCCGAGAAACAAUAACCUUUUACCAUCAGUGGACAAUUUUUUACAAAUUUUUUAUCCACCAAAACAGAUUGGCCCAGGAGGUUCGAGAUUUUAACCACAAAUUCAAUAGGUUCAAUGGAUAAAUCUUUAACACAUGCAAGCUUUAUACAUAUAUAUGAAUGCGUAGAAUUGGAAUCAAUUAAUGCAAUAAUAUCAGUGUCAAGUAAAGAAAAUUACUGAGGCAUAUUCUCUGGCACGAAUGGCACAUGUCCUAGCAGGUGCACGUGCCUCAGGCCUGCCUACAGUAUCUUUUGUAGCUCCAAGGCUACCACUGAUAUUACCGGAUGGUCGAGGUGGUCUACCUCUCGAAAUUGGAUUACUCGACUUCGAUAUCUGUUCAGCUUCUUUUUCACCCCUUUCUGGACAAUCUCUGAGGAAAUGAUCAAAUGAACCGCAUCGGUAACAAGCCCUACUUUUCAGCCGACAUUCUCUAAAAUGAGCUUUAUUACAGUACUAACAUUUCGGCCCAACAAUGGUCACUGAUGGAGUGGAAGGUCUUGGAUUAGUGUGUUGUGAACAUCGCUCUCUGCCCGAAUACCCAGUGGCUGAGGUAGAACGAUCCUGGUACUUCUUCAAUUUCUUUGGAGCAGAAAAUUGAGAUUUUCCCAUUGGUCUUUUACUAAAAAUUUGAGCUUCUCUCUCAGCCUGUUUCUUUUCUUUGCUCAAUUCUUCUGCUUUAUAAGCUUUCUCUGCCAAUGUAGUAAACUCUCGAAUUUCAAGAAUUCUAAUCAAUAGCUUAAUGUCUUCAUUCAACCAUUUCUUCGAAUCAUUUGCACAUUUUAGCUUCUAACUGUACCCAUUCUCGAGCAUAUUUACUCAACCGAAUAAAUUCUCUUUCAUACUCAGAUACUGAUCUAUUGCCCUAUUUCAGCUCAAGAAAUUCUUAUUUUAUGAUCAAGGAACCUCUGGCUGAUAUAUUUCUUUUUAAAUUUAUUCUGAAAGAACUCCCAUGUAAUUUCUUCUUUUGGAACCACUGAAGCUUUAGUAUUCCACCAGUGAUAAGCAGUGUCUUUUAAUAGUGAGACGGCACAUUUCAGACAUUCUUCUGGUGUGCAAGAUAGUUCCUCCAAAACUCGAGUAGUUUCUCUAACCAGAAUUCAGCCCGUUCGAAAUCAUCAUCAACUGCUGCUCGAAAUUCUUCGUCCCCAUAUUUUUAAAUUUUAUCUACUGGAGCUUUUCCUGUUCUGACAGAUUCAGUUCCUGUACCCUGUGGGAUCUCGAGAACUGGUGGAGGAGCAGGAGGGGGAGCUUGAACUUGCUGCACUACAGGGUUAGUUCUUAGGUAUUGACUAAACCAUUCAUUCAUUAUUUGAAAGAAGGUUAUUUUUUCCUCCUCCCCUCGACCCUUUGUCUCGGGCCUUCUGCUGCUAGUUUCUUCUCUUUGUACUGAACCCGCAGUAUGACUCCCAGCUUCCUCGGAUUGAGCUUGAUCGGAUGACAUUACUAUAAGAAAAACACAUUUUAAAUGGUCAAGAGAUAUCACACUAUCAAUAAUAAUUUAAAUGGCAUGUAUAGCUAAUCUCGUAUUUGCUACAUCGAUCCUAAAACCGGCUAAACCGUAGCUCUGAUACCAACAAAUGUAAUACCCCCUACCCGUAUUCAUCAUCGGAAUAGAGUAUGAGGCAUUACCAGAUUUUUUGAAUUACUUUUUUUUACUCAAUAUAGCCCCUUUAUAGAUAUCUAACCUUCCCUGCAAUAUUAAACCGAGAUCAAUCCACAUCAACCAAUCCAAUUCAACAUAUUUUCAAGAUAGAUUUAUGCAUUUUUUUAUGAUAACCUCAUCAUAUACCAAAACCAAAAUUUGUUAGCCAUACCAAUGGCUGACCUUACAUUCAUAUCACAUUAACAUUUACUUUAUUAGCUUAUACAUGCCAUUGGUUUCCAAAAUAAAGUUUCUUGAUAUACCGAAAUCUUGAAGUUGAUAGUGUGAUGUGUCUCUGACCAAGUCCGACCUUCGAGCUCUUAACACUACAAAACAGGCAAAAAGGAAAUAGGGUAAGCACUUUGUGCUUAGUAAGCUUGUAAUAACCUGAAUUUUAUAGUUAUCGAAAAAGUAUAUUUUCGGGUCUCUGUUUCUGAAAAAUAGAUUUGUAAAUAUUUAUUAAAAAUAUUUACGAAGUUAAUUGAGUGGUUAAUUAGAGUUUAAUUAAGUGAAUUAGCUUAAAUUAAGGAUAAUUGGAUAAAAGGAUUAAAUUGAAUAUAGUGUGAAAGUUUAAUUAUAGAAUAAAGAAAAUUGAAGGGACUAAAUAAGAAAAUAAGCCAAAGUGAAUGCAAAGUGUGUGGCAAAAAUAAAAUACAAGUGUAAUAAAUAUUAUACAUACAUUUGUAAUACAUGUAUGUAUCUGCUUAUUAUUUAAGUAAAUAUUAAUGUAUUUAUUAUUAUUAAAUUGAUGUAGAGGUGUGCAUGGGCCGGACCGGGCCGGGUUCAAGCCAGGCCCAUAAAAAAAUUUCUGACCGUUUUUAAGGCCCAGGCCCGGCCGGACCCAAAAUAUAGGCCUAGAUUUUUGUCCAAGCCCGGUCCCAGAAAAAAAUAGUAGGCUCGUGCCCGGCCCAGCCCGGCCUGGCCAUAUUAAUUUUUUUUGCUUUUUUUAUUAAAUAAAAAAAUUAAAAUAUAAUAAAUCAAAUACAUUUAAAAACAUAAAAAUAAAUAUUAAAACAAAAAACAAAUAAAAAAUGAAACUAAAAUAAUUCUUAAAAUAAUACAUAAAUUUAAAAUAUAAUAAAAAGUAAUUAUAUUAAAAUUGAAAAAUUGAAACAAAUUAGAACUAAAUUAAGAACCAAAUUAUAUUAAUAACAAGAGUUUUACAAUAUCAAAAUAACAUUAAAAACAACGAAAAGAGUAAAGUCAAAGUACUAAAGUUACUUAAAAUUAAAAAUAAAAAAAUUUAAAAAAUAAUUUAAUAUUAAAAUCGGGCCUGGCCGGGGCCAAAAAAAUCUUACUCGGGGCCUGGCCCGUUUUCUAAACGGGCUUCGUUUUUUGUCCAAGCCCAUUUUUUGGGCCUAUAUUUUUACCCAAACCCUCCCAUUUUUCAGGCGAGCCUUCGGGCCGAGCCGGGUCGCCCGGCCCAUGCACACCUCUUAUUGAUAUUAUAUGAUGAAUAAAUUAAAUAAAGACAAGUGUAUGGCAAUGAUUUGUUACAAGUGUAUAAAUAAAAAUAUAUACAUUUGUAAUACAUAUAUUUAUUUAUUAAUAGAUAUUUAUUAAUUAAAUAAUUAUGUUAUAAGAUUUUUAUGUAAUAAAUAUAUUAAAUUAUGACAAGUGUGUGGAUAUAAAUGGAUACAAAUGUAAAAUAAAUAUUUGAUAUUAAUUAGAUAUUUAUUAAGUUAACAUAUUAUAUAUAUAUAAAGAAAAUAAAGAAAGAAAACAAAGAAAGAAACAGAAUGCUCAAACAAAAAUGGGGGAAAGAAAGGGGAAAGAAAGAAAAAAAGGGAGAAAUUGAGGUUUUGAAGCUUUAAACUUUAAUAGUUAGUGUUGUGCCGAAAAAUCUCGGCUAGGAAAGAAUAUGACAAAGACGACGGGAGUUAGCUUGGAAACUACGGUUUGUAUUUCUAUAAACCGAAUCUAAUAAUUAUUUGUUGAAUUUAUUAUUUAUAUGAAUGGUAAUUAUUAUUAUGGUAUUGAAUUGAAUAAAAAUUCAUGAAUUAUUAGUGAUUAUUGAUGUUGAAUAAAAUAAGCGAAUAUUGAGUGGAAAAUUGAAAAAAGGAUAUUGCAUUGAAAUUGAUUUGCAUGUGGAUUGAUAUGGAAAAAUGUAUUAAAUUGAAUUGAAAUUAAAUUACAAAUGAAAUUGAAAUUUUGAACGUUAUUGAAUACCCUAUUAACUGUAUCGAGCUAGUCGGAUAUAGUUGGCAUGCCAUAAGAUUGGAAGUGUUCAGGGAUAUUCCGACUGUGUGUUGAUGAGACACUAUAAGUGUCGACUACUGCUACUGUUCCGGAUUCGUUCCGAAGAGGUACUCUGUACUUGACUGUGACUGUUACUGUUACUGUUUUGGAUUUGUUCCGAUUAGGUACUUUGUGUACCGCUAAAGUUACUGUUACUGUUACCCUUUCGGUGUAUUCCGGCUUCGGCCGACAAAACACUGUAUACUAUCCCCAGUGUGUAGGUUGGAUCCAUGUAUCCGUCUAGAUCCGAGUCAUGUUAAUAGGGGUAAUGAAAAGUAUUAAAGACUGACUGCUACUAAAUAAUUAACUGUUACAGAAUAAACGACUAAUACUGAAUAAAUAAAUAUUACUGAUUAACCGAUUAUUACUGUUGACUGACUGGUACUGAAUGAUAAAGUUCAAUUGGUUGUUACCAAUGAAUAUUGACUGUUAUUGAAAUGAGAUAGUACAAAAUAUUGAAUGAAAGGUGAAUAAUAUUAUUACUCAAAUGAAUUGUAAAUAAAAGUACUGAAAAACUAAUUGUUACUGAAUAAUGGACUGCUACUGAAUAUCUGAAUGAUACUGAACACAGGUUAUUACUGAAUAAGUAUGAAAAAUUGACGGAUAAUAAAUAAACAUUGAAACUGUAUACAUUUCAUCGAAAGUGAUUAACAAGAUCUUAGCAUUAUAUAUUAAAAAGAAAUGAUUGAACUAUUAGGAGUAAUAGAUUGAAUUUCUCAAGGUUCAUUGAUAUAUGAUUUAUUAUUGACUAAAAUAUCGGUUUAUAGAAAUACCACUGAGUUCAUGCUCAGCGUACGGUUUGUUUCCGUGUGCAGGUUAGGUUAAAGACGGAUCGUCAAAUCAGCAUCAUAAGCCGAUCCCGAACUCAAAAAGGUAAAGCAUGUUAAUUAUCGAUAAUGGCAUGUACCUAGGAUGUCUUAAGUGUGUUAUAUUGGAUUGUGAUUGUAAUAGUGAAAUAAGUAAAUUGAUAAUUGAUAAUGAUACAUGAUAAGUUUUUAAAGUUAAGUAUUAGAUAAUAUAUAAAAUGCGUUUGGAUUGGUUUGAUAUUGGUAUUGUAUGGGUUGUGGAUUGAAAUUUACAGGAUUGGUAAAUUUUUAAACUACAAGGUUCAUUUUAAGUUCACAUAGUUUGUCACACGGGCGUGUGCAUUGGUUGCCACGGCCGUGUCUUAAAGUCAGUUUAGUACACGGGUAGGCCACACGGACGUAUUCAUAGCCGUGUUUAAAAGUCAAUGUUACACAUCGGUUGAGGACAGGGGCGUGUCCCAUGCCGGACAGUCAGGUUAAAUUAGCCACACGGGCGUGUGAUACUGUUCAGAAAAAGAAAAUUUAAAAUUUCACAAAAAAAUUACUAAGCUUAGCCACACGGGCGUUUGAUACUGUUCAGAAGAAGAAAAUUUAAAAUUUCACAAAAAAUUUACUAAGCUUUAGGAUCGAAUCCCGAUUUGUUUUAAUUGCACUUGUAAAGUACUGUGGACCCAUUAAAAUUAUAUUUAGAUGGAUAUAUUGCAUUUAUACUUGUUUAUGUGUAAAUGUACUGUAAUGACUGGUAAUACUCUGUAAUUCUGUUCUGGUAACAGAACGGGGUUAAGGGUGUUACAUUUAGUGGCAACAGAGCUAACCGGGUUUAGACGAUUCUAGGAUUAAAUUGAGUACAGAAAGUGGCAACAGAGCUAACCGGGUUUAGACGAUUCUAGGAUUAAAUUGAGUACAGAAAGGAGUCUAGAGGUACAUGCCAUAAUUAAAUCGAAAUUGAGUCGGGAUCGGAUGCUGAUAUAUUUGUUUGUUACUGUUUUAUAGUUGAAAAUGUUAAAUAAAUAUAUCGAUGGUAUUGGUUACGAAAUGUAUACUGGAGACGAAUAGUCUCGUAAAUUAGAUGGAAACUGAAUCGGUAAUAUUGAGUAUUAACUCAAUGGAUAAUUAUUACUGAACGAUGGCUGAUGAAAUAAUAGAGAAAGAAAUAGUGUAUAAUUAUUUAGAACUCUGACAGAUGCUCUUUAGUGAGUAGAGAGAAAAACUGUAUCUGCUACGACAUCUACCCCUCAUGUUUCUCAAUCGGUUCCCGAAGUGCUUCAAGGUACAGAGCCUGACUGAACGGGUAAGUUAUCUGUUGUUAAUACUCCGUAAAUAUAGUGUGGAAGAAUUGAGAAUUUCAGUUGGAAAUGAUCUUGAAAGAACCGAAAUAUGGUUAGAGAAUAUUGUCAGGAUUGUCAAUGAAUUGUUCUGUUCACCGAUUAAAUGAUAGAAAUAUAUGAUAUUUCUGUUAAAAGAUCUAGCUUACUAGUGGUGGAAAAUACUGACUUAUGAUGUGAUUAAGAAAGGGUUAUUUAGAAAAAAAUUUUAAAAUAAGUUCUGAAAGAAAUAUAUGUCAGUCAGAGAUUUCUUGAUCAGAGAUGUAAAUAAUUCCUGAAGCUUAAACAGAGUUAUAUGACUGUAACUGUGUAUGAAGGUAAUUUGUUUGAUUGAAUAAAUAUAUUAGAAGAUGUAUUCCGACAGAAACUGUAAGGUACAAGUGGUUUGAAAAUGGUCUAAAUGAAGACCUAAAGCUGAAGAAUGAAGAAUAAAGAGUGGAAUAUGUGUCGGAUAUGAUUCUUUUAAUCAUUAUUUUAGUGAUUGCUUGAAAAGAGUUGAAAAAGAUAUUAUUCAGAUUUCAAGAGCUUCCAGAGGUAGAUUACUCUGUAACUCCAGAAAUACGAGUGAUAAUUGAAGCAUGACAAAGGACUUCACUGUAAUAUCUAAAGAAUGAACAUCAGCCAUGCCAUAUGUUAAUCGUAUACACGAAGAUAUUUUUCUACCGGAUGUCAUUAUAGGUACUUUCUUCUUUAUUGACACUGAUAUGAUUAUUCUAAAUUGAUUUUGGUUUGACUUAUUCCUACGAUUGCUUGAAUUUAGUAUUUGCUAAAGACUUGCCUGUUGAGUUGACUGAAUUAUGGUGGAAGUAUCAAAUCAGUAUUUAUUGGCUGAUAAGAUCUGCAGGAAUUGUUUGAUAAUGAUACUACUAUUUUCUGUUCGAUUUGAUGUUAUUACUAUUUGAUGUGAUCUUGAGAAUGGAAUGGUUAAUUCUGCAUGAUGCUGUGGUAAAUUAUAAGUAGAAGUAUAUUAUAUUGCGAAGUUAGGAUGAUGAAAUGUUUUGUUGCAUCAGAGAAGAUUGAAUGAUUUACCUAUUGAGACAUUGAUCAUGUCAAAACAGAAAUGUGCUGGAAAAAGGGUUAUGGUAUUUACUUUGUUUAUGUAUUGGAUAUUAAAGUAUUCAAGUUAAAGUUUAAAUCAGUGGCAACAGUGCGAGAGAAUUCUGAUGUGUUUCUAGAAAAGUUACCUGAAUUACAGUUGAUUGAAGAAGCCGAAUGUGCUAUAGAUCUUGUGCUUGGAAUGAUAUUGAAAAGUAUAUCUGAAAUCAGAAGUUUUCUGAAACUAGUCGAUUAUUACCAGAAAUUUGAAAAAGGGAUUUUUGGAUGAUAUGAUUACUACAGAAAGAAAUGGCAUUGGAAUGAUAUGAUAAAUGUCAGCAAGGUUUGAUUAGUUGAAAACUCAGUUAACUGAAGCACUAGUUCUGGUUUAGCCUGAAAUCCGGUGAAGAAACUUGUAAUUUACAAGGAUAGCAGUGUUUUGAUAUAAGAAGGUGAACUAAUAGUUUAUGUUACGAAAAGUUGGAAUCACAUGGGAAGAAUUAUUUGAUACCUGAUUCGGAAAUGGUAGUUAUUGUUCUUGUAUUAAAAGAUUAAUAUAUGAUAAUUAAUUAUCAUCCGAGAAAGAAAAAUGAAGGUAUGUACAUUUAGAAUUGAAAGCUUUGUUUUGUGUUAUGAGCUAUGAAAAUUUGACUGUAAUCAUUUGAAGAUGGCUUAAUUUUGGUUGAGAUGAAAGUUAAACUGACUUUUCUAAAGCAGAUCUGCGAAGUUCAGAAACGUGAUAACGAGUUACGGGUUAAAUGUGUAUAGUAUACAGAUGACUUUUGAUUAAAAUUUUAGAUUGAAUUUGAUAAUUGUUUACUACUUAGAAAUAGAAGCUGUACUGAAGAAUUCAGAACUGUUACAGUUAGUGAUGAUAUCAGAAUGAAAAUGAGAUAGAAUUCUUAUGGGAUUGAAUUGGAUUUAUCUCUAUCUGCGAAAAAAAAAAGAUGAUAUUUGAAUAGUUGUAGAAGGUAUGGUGAAGUCUGCAUAUUUUAUUCCGGUAUGAAUAAAUUUCUUACUUAAUAAUUGUCUGAAAUAUGGGUUUCUGAUAUUGCCAGAUUACAUGGUAUGUCAAUUUCUAUUAUUUUGAUUGGGAUACAUGGUUUAUAUUCCGAUUCAAGAACAAGUACAAGAAGUUCUGGGUACGCAAUAACAGUUUUCAGCAUUGUAUGAAGCUCUGUAUGAUAGUAAAUGUAAAACUACAUAGUAUCUGAUUGAACAUGAUGAGAAAAAAAAUAUGCAGGGUUGUUUCGAUUAGUGAAACUGAAGAAAAGUGGAAGUGAUUCGAGAUAGUUUAAAAGCAAUACUUGAUUGUCAGAAACUUUAUGUGGAUAUUGAAGAGAAUAAAAAUGAUUGAGUUAGAAUUAAUUCAGGAAACAGGGAAUACUGUUAAAAAGAUUCAAGAUAAACCGAAAGCGGCUUUUGACAGACAAAAAUUAUGUAUAUUGAGUAUUCUGCUAAUGAUAAGGUAUUUCUUAAAGUUUAUGAGAAAUUAAGCUUUUGUUCUGUUUGGCUAUGUGAAAUUGCAGAAAAGUUAGAUUGAUAACGCAUUGGUUGAUAUUGCUUCUGAAGUUACAGAAAAUUUAUGAGGUUUUUCAAGAUUUAGUAUUAAAAAGAUAUAGAUCAGAUCUUCCACAUGUUACCUCGGUAAAAGAAUAUUGAAAUUUGAACUGAUUCAUUGUAUGAAGAAAAAGAACCAAUUGAGGUACCAGAUUGAAAGGUAAAGUUAUAAUAUUGAGGAAGCAACUCGGGAACCGAAAGAAACAGUGAGAUCUUUGUAACUCCACCUCUUUUAGGCAAAUUUCGAGGGCGAAAUUUAUUAAUGAGGGAAGAAUUGUAAUGACCUGAAUUUUACAGUUAUCAAAAAAAUAUAUUUUCGGGUCUCUGUUUCUGAAAAAUGGAUUCAUAAAUAUUUAUUAAAAAUAUUUACGAAGUUAAUUGAGUGGUUAAUUAGAGUUUAAUUAAGUGAAUUAGCUUAAAUUAAGGAUAAUUGGAUAAAAGGAUUAAAUUGAAUAUAGUGUGAAAGUUUAAUUAUAGAAUAAAGAAAAUUGAAAGGACUAAAUAAGUAAAUAAGCCAAAGUGAAUGCCAAGUGUGUGGCAAAAAUAAAAUACAAGUGUAAUAAAUAUUAUACAUACAUUUGUAAUACAUGUAUGUAUUUGCUUAUUAUUUAAGUAAAUAUUAAUGUAUUUAUUAUUAUUAAAUUGAUAUUAUAUGAUGAAUAAAUUAAAUAAAGACAAGUGUAUGACAAUGAUUUGUUACAAGUGUAUAAAUAAAAAUAUAUACAUUUGUAAUACAUAUAUUUAUUUAUUAAUAGAUAUUUAUUAUUAAGUAAAAGAUUUUUAUUAAUUAAAUAAUUAUAUUAUAAGAUUUUUAUGUAAGAAAUAUAUUAAAUUAUGACAAGUGUGUGGAUAUAAAUGGAUACAAAUGUAAAAUAAAUAUUUGAUAUUAAUUAGAUAUUUAUUAAGUUAACAUAUUAUAAUAUAUAUAUAUAUAAAGUAAAUAAAGAAAGAAAACAAAGAAAGAAACAGAUUGCUCAAACAAAAAUGGGGGAAAGAAAGGGGAAAGAAAGAAAAAAGGGAGAAAUUGAGGUUUUGAAGCUUUAAACUUUAAUAGUUAGUGUCGUGCCGAAAAAUCUCGGCUAAGAAAGGACAAGACAAAGACAACGAGAGCUAGCUUGGAAAUUACGGUUUGUAUUUCUAUAAACCGAAUCUAAUAAUUAUUUGUUGAAUUUAUUAUUUAUAUGAAUGGUAAUUAUUAUUAUUAUGGUAUUGAAUUGAAUAAAAAUUCAUGAAUUAUUAGUGAUUAUUGAUAUUGAAUAAAAUAUAUGAAUAUUGAGUGGAAAAUUGAAAAAUGUAUAUUGCAUUGAAAUUGAUUUGCAUGUGGAUUGAUAUUGAAAAAUGUAUUAAAUUGAAUUGAAAUUAAAUUACAAAUGAAAUUUAAAAUUUGAAAGAUUAUUGAAUACCCUAUUAACUGUAUCGGGCUAAUCGGAUAUAAUUGGCAUGCCAUAGGAUUGGAAGUGCUUAGGGGUAUUCCGACUGUGUGUCGAUGAGACACUAUAAGUGUCGACUACUGUUACUGUAUUAGAUAUAAAUACUAUGAAUGUGAUCAUAAUCAAUCAAGAUAAAUAUUGAUAUCGCUUUAUAAUUACUAUUUAAACCCACGAGUUGUUAUUGUAUUAGAUAUAAAUACUAUGAUAUCCUUAAAAUAAAAUAUAUUGGUAUGAUCCAUCAAUCAGGUUCCAACUCAAUUAAGAAAUUAACAAAAAAUUUUAUUUUUUUUACAAAGUAAAAUUAUAUUAUUAUGAACCAAGAACACUAUUAAUAUUGAAUCUUCAAUGUUACAAUUUUAACCAAAGUAUCAUUUAAUUUCUAUAUAAACUUUUAAUGCGUUUAUAUAAAUUUUAAAUUAAUCGAGUUGAUAAAUCUUUUUUAAUUUAUUAACUGAAUUUGAUUUGAAUAUUAAAAUUAAAUCAAGUGAAAAGAAAUUUAAAUAAAAUUAAAUAAAAAAUUAUUUAAAUUAAUCAAAUUUUCAAAUCAUAUUUUAUCUAUCUCAUUUGAUUUGAAUUUUUAAAUCCAAGUCUUUUUCAAAUUAGUGGUUGUAAUAGUUAGAAUUUUUUUGGUCUAGAUAAUGACUUGUGUGUGGCCAAGUCAACGACGGCUUUGUGGAAAGGUUGCUUCCUUCAUCUCCUAUUAGUAACAUAGACUUUAUUUUGAUCCAAAAUUGCCUUAUUACACUAACAAUUUCAUUCAAAAAUCAACACCAUGGGCUCAGAAACCGGUGAAUUUCAGGUAGAUUCUAACCCGGAUUAUGAUCGUGAAAGUGAAGUAAAGGCUUUUGAUGAUACAAAAGCCGGUGUGAAGGGAAUAGUAGAUUCGGGUGUCACACAAAUCCCUCGUAUAUUCAUAGAUCAAAGCCUUAUCCUUGAGAAGAAUAACACCGAUUGUUCCAAUAAUCAGCUGGGUGCACCGAUCAUAGACCUCCAAGGCAUCGGUGGAGACUCGGCUCGGCGUGUCGAGGUGAUUAACCAAGUUCGAAAUGCUUGUGCGGAUUGGGGUUUCUUUCAGGUCGUUCACCAUGGGAUUCCUGCAAGCGUUUUGGAUGAAAUGAUUGAUGGGAUCCGUCGGUUUCAUGAACAAGACACCAGGUGAAGAAACAGUUCUAUUCACGCGAUGCAACUUGCAAGGUGUUGUAUUUAAGCAACUAUGACUUGUAUAAAUUGAAAGCUGCUAAUUGGAGGGACAGUUUUGGUUGUAUCUGUUGAAAAGUCAACAAAGGUAGGAAGCAACUUGUUAAAAAGGUGAAGCAAGUUGCACCGAAUGUUGAAAAGUUGAAUGGGAUAAUUGUAAUUUUGGUCCCUAAUUUUUUAGGCCAUUUGCAAGUUAGUCCCUGAACUUCAACUAUAAAUAGACCUUCUCAUUUUUCAUUUCAACUAUCUCAACCAAUCUUUCUCUCUUAGUUUUCUCUCUUCUCCCAUUUGAGAAUUCUUAAGGAAUUCUAUUUGUUUGUAUUAUUUUAGAGAUAAUAAAGUUAUCAUCUGGUGUUAGUGCCCGAGGACGUAGGUAUAAUUUACCGAACUUCGUUAAAACUCUUGUGUUUUUUCUUGUCCUAUUUUUCUUUCAAUAUUUAAGGGUAUAAUAGUAGUAUUUAAUUGUGCUAUUAAAUUACUAUAGAGGAAUAUUCUGACUAAGGAAAGACUUGGUAUUUAAGAGAUCCAUGUGAUCCACCACUCUUCCCUGGAAAUUGAACUUUGUGUGAUUUUUUAGUACAAUAAUUUACACGCUUCCGACCCUAUUGAAACAACAAGUGGUAUCAGAGCCGAAGGUUAAUCGUAUUAUGCUCUGUGGUUGCAGUUUAAACUGAUCUUCCACAUCAGAAAAGAUUUCCUUAGGUAUAUUGAAAGAUUAUGGAGAAAACGGUCGGUGUAGAAGCUUCAACAUCGUCCAUAUGGACAAGACCGACAAUUGCAAAUGCAAGAUUGGCCGUGGAGAUCUUUGAUGGCACGGGCCAUUUUGGUAUGUGGCAAAGUGAGGUUCUAGACGCCCUUUUUCAACAGGGUCUAGACAUUGCCAUUGAUGAAGAGAAACCAGAUGAUGUACAGGAGAAAGAUUGGAAGGCGAUCAAUCGGUUGGCAUGUGGCACAAUUCGAUCAUGCCUUUCUCGAGAGCAUAGGUAUGCUUUUUCAAAGGAGACUUCUGCAAAUAAGUUGUGGGUGACACUUGAAGAAAAUUUUUUGAAGAAAAAUAGUCAAAAUAAGCUCCACUUGAAGAAAAGACUGUUUCGCUUCACUUAUGUCCCAAGUACCACAAUGAAUGAUCACAUCACCAAAUUUAAUCAGUUAGUCACUGAUUUGCUAAAUAUGGAUGAGACAUUCAAAGAUGAAGAUUUGGCUUUGAUGCUGUUGGGGUCACUUCCUGAGGAGUUUGAGUUCCUAGAAACUACUCUACUUCAUGGCAGGAGUGAUAUAUCUCUGAGCGAAGUUUGUGUGGCCUUAUACAGUUAUGAACAGAGAAAGAAAGACAAACAGAAAAAAUCAAUCAGAGAUACAGAAGCUUUAGUAGUCCAAGGUCGUUCAUACACUCGGAAGAAAACUCAAAAGGGGAAAUCAAAGUCAAAGUCCAGACUUGGGAAAGAUGAAUGUGCCUUUUGUCAUGAGAAAGGCCACUGGAAGAAAAAUUGUCCAAAGCUGAAGAAUAAGGGAAAAGCUGCUGUAGAUGCUUGUGUUGCAAAGCAUGAUACUAGUGACUCUGAACUAUCACUGGUUGCAUCAUCAUCGUCGUUCCAUUCAGAUGAGUGGAUUUUGGAUUCGGGUUGUACCUAUCAUAUGUCUCCUAACCGGGAGUGGUUCUCUGAUUUAGUAGAACUAAAUGGAGGAGUUGUUUAUAUGGGCAAUGACAAUGCCUGUAAAGCUAUUGGGAUAGAUUUAAUCCAAUUAAAGAAUCAAGAUGGAUCAACCAGAGUUUUGACUGAUGUUCGGUACGUGCCCAGUUUGAAGAAAAAUCUCAUCUCAUUGGGAGCCUUGGAAUCCAAUGGUUCAGUUGUUACUAUGAGAGAUGGGGUUUUGAAAGUGACAUCUGGCGUACUUGUGAUAUUGAAGGGUAUCAGGAAAAAUAACUUGUAUUACUACCAAGGUAGUACAGUUAUUGGAGCAGCUUCCAGUAACAAAGAAUUGGACUCAAUGCAGUUGUGGCAUAUGAAGUUGGGACAUGCCAGUGAAAAAUCCUUGCAAAUUCUGGUAAAGCAAGGAUUGUUGAAAGGUGCAAAGGCUUGCAAAUUAAAAUUUUGUGAGCAUUGUGUUCUGGGAAAACAAAAGAGAGUGAAAUUCGGCACUGCUAUCCAUAAUACAAAAGGUAUUUUGGAAUAUGUUCACUCAGAUGUGUGGGGGCCUUCCAAAACACCUUCGUUGAGAGGAAAACACUACUUUGUUACUUUUGUUGAUGACUUUUCCAGAAGAGUUUGGGUGUAUAGCAUGAAAACUAAGGAUGAAGUGCUUGGAGUUUUUCUUAAAUGGAAAACUACGAUCGAAAACCAGACUGUCAAGAAAAUCAAGCGGCUUAGGACGGACAAUGGAGGGGAAUAUAGAAGUGAUUCGUUCUUCGAUGUGUGCCAAGAGUAUGGUAUUGUUCGACACUUCACAGUUAGGGAUACACCACAACAGAAUGGAGUGGCAGAGCGUAUGAAUCGAACAUUGCUGGAGAAAGUUCGAUGUAUGUUGUCCAAUGCUGGGUUGGGCAAGCAAUUUUGGGCUGAGGCUGUGACAUACGCUGGCCAUCUUGUUAAUCGUUUCCCAUCAUCGGUAUUAGAAAGAAAAACUCCUAUGGAGGUAUGGUCUGGAAAAUCGGCUACAGAUUAUGAUUCCUUACAUGUGUUUGGAUCCACUGCAUAUUACUAUGUGAAUGAGUCAAAAUUAGAUCCGAGGGCAAAGAAAGCUCUCUUUAUGGGAAUCACUUCUGGAGUGAAGGGAUUUCGUCUUUGGUGCUUAGACACAAAGAAAAUGAUCUGUAGUAGAGAUAUUACCUUUGAUGAAUCUGUCACAUUGAAAAAAGUAGCAGAUAAAGAUAUUCAGAUGAGCAAUACUCCACAGCAGGUGGAGUGUACUCCAAAACAGGUGGAGUUUGAGCAGAUGGGGAUUUGCCUAGUUAAUAAGCCUAAUUCUCCAGCCACAAUAGAGGAAUUAGAGAUUGAAGAGGUUCUGACCCAAAAAUCGUUAAGUACACCAGAACCAGUUGCAGUUGCAAGGCCACGGAGAGAAAUUCAUAGACUUGCUCGAUUUACUGAUAUGGUGGCCUACGCCAUUCCCGUUGUUGAUGAUGAUAUUCCUAUCACUUAUCAAGAAGCAAUGCAAAACUUAGAAAGUGAAAAUGGAAAAGCGCCAUGGAUGAAGAAAUGCAGUCUCUCUGGAAGAACAAUACUUGGGAGUUGGCGCAAUUACCGAAAGGUAAAAGGGCAAUCGGAUGCAAGUGGGUAUUCGCAAAGAAAGAUGGAUCUCCUAGCAAGAAAGAUAUUCGCUACAAGGCAAGAUUGAUAGCUAAAGGCUACGCUAAGAAGGAGGGAAUUGACUACAAUGAUGUAUUUUCCCCUGUUGUGAAGCAUUCCUCCAUCAGAAUUUUGUUGGCCUUGGUAGCACAGUUGAAUUUGGAGCUAGCUUAACUUGAUGUUAAGACGGCUUUCUUGCAUGGUGAGUUAGAAGAGGAGAUCAAUAUGACUCAGCCCGAAGGAUACACAGAUGCUGGUGGUAGAAAUUGGGUUUGUAAGUUGAACAAAUCGCUAUAUGGAUUGAAGCAAUCCCCGAGGCAGUGGUACAAGCGAUUUGAUAGCUUUAUGAGAAGGCAGAAGUACAUAAGAAGCAAAUAUGACAAUUGUGUGUAUUUGCAGAAGCUGCAUGACCGAUCUUUCAUUUAUCUACUCUUGUAUGUUGAUGAUAUGUUAAUCGCUUCGAAGAGCCAAAAAGAGAUCGAUAAGCUGAAGGCUCAGUUGAAUCAAGAGUUCGAGAUGAAAGAUCUAGGUGAGGCCAAAAAGAUUCUCGGCAUGGAGAUAAGUAGAGAUAGACAGAGAGGCAAACUUUGUUUGAAUCAGAAGUAAUAUCUGAAAAAGGUAUUACAAUGUUUUGGUGUAAAUGAAAACACAAAACAUGUAAGUACCCCACUUGCUUCUCAUUUGAAACUUAGUGCUCAAUUAUCUCCGAAAACUGAAGAAGAAAGAGAAUAUAUGGCAAAAGUCCCAUAUGCUAAUGCAGUUGGGAGUUUGAUGUAUGCUAUGGUGUGUACGCGGCCUAACAUUUCACAAGAUGUUGGAGUUGUGAGCAGGUAUAUGCAUGAUCCUGGAAAAGGUCAUUGGCAAGCUGUGAAAUGGAUUCUACGGUAUCUUCGAAAAACCGUAGACAUUGGUUUAGUUUUUGAGAAGGAUGAAGCACUUGGUCAGUUUGUAGUUGGAUAUGUUGAUUCCGACUUUGCUGGUGAUUUAGAUAAACGUCGUUCAACUACGGGGUAUCUGUUUACUCUUACGAAAGCUCCAGUGAGUUGGAAAUCUACCUUACAGUCUACAGUAGCUGUGUCUACUACAGAGGCAGAAUAUAUGGCAGUUACAGAAGCUGUUAAGGAGGCUAUUUGGCUUAAUGGAUUGUUGAAAGACUUGGGAGUUGUUCAAAGUCACAUUAGUCUAUAUUGAGACAGUCAGAGCGCUAUUCAUUUAGCGAAAAAUCAAGUCUAUCAUUCAAGAACCAAGCAUAUCGACGUAAGAUAUCACUUUGUACAGGAAGUCUUUGAAAAAUGAAAAAUUCUACUUCAGAAGAUUUCAACAGUAGAUAAUCCCGCAGAUAUGUUGACCAAGGUGGUAACAACAAUCAAGUUUAAUCAUUGUUUGAACUUGAUUAACAUUCUGAGAAUUUGAGCACCUUCAGGUGUAUGGCGCUCAAGAGCGCAUUUGUAGGCACUACAAAAGAUAGCUUUAUCAAAUUUGGGGAGUUGAAGGAAGUGUGUGAAGAUGUGAUUAUCCUAAUAAAAUCUUCAAGGUGGAGAUUGUUGAAAAGUCAACAAAGGUAGGAAGCAACUUGUUAAAAAGGUGAAGCAAGUUGCACUGAAUGUUGAAAAGUUAAAUGGGAUAAUUGUAAUUUUGGUCCCUAAUUUUUAGGCCAUUUGCAAGUUAGUCCCUGAACUUCAACUAUAAAUAGACCUUCUCAUUUUUCAUUUCAACUAUCCCAACCAAUCUUUCUCUCUUAGUUUUCUCUCUUCUCCCAUUUGAGAAUUCUUAAGGAAUUCUAUUUGUUUGUAUUAUUUUGGAGAUAAUAAAGUUAUCAUCUGGUGUUAGUGCCCGAGGACGUAGGUAUAAUUUACUGAACCUCGUUAAAACUCUUGUGUUUUUUCUUGUCCUAUUUUUCUUUCAAUAUUUAAGGGUAUAAUAGCAGUAUUUAAUUGUGCUAUUAAAUUACUAUAGAAGGAAUAUUCUGACUAAGGAAAGACUUGGUAUUUAAGAGAUCCAUGUGAUCCACCACUCUUCCCUGGGAAUUGAACUUUGUGUGAUUUUUUAGUACAAUAAUUUACACGCUUCCGACCCUAUUAGAACAACAGUAUCAUGUCUCCUGAUGAUCCAGUUCACCCUGCAGAGUUGCCUCAAGUUUGCAGGUACGUGUUAGUACUAGGUUAUGUUACUCGAAUUCAGUUGUCAGUUGUGAGUAUCGUAUAGGUGACAUGUAUUGAGUUUUGUUGCAGAGACAUAGUGAUGGAUUACUCCAAGCAAGUAUUGACAUUGGGGUUCACACUGUUUGAACUGCUGUCUGAGGCUCUUGGGCUCAACCCUGAUUGCCUUAAUAAUUUGGGUUGCGCCGACUUACUGCUUCUAAUGGGACAUUACUAUCCUCCAUGUCCUCAACCAGAACUAACAAUGGGAACCACCAAUCACAAAGACAGUAACAUCAUUACCAUUCUUCUGCAAGAUCAAAUGGGUGGCCUCCAAGUUCUUCAUCACAAUCAUUGGAUUGAUGUCCCUUGCAUACCUGGAGCUUUGGUAGUAAAUGUUGGAGAUCUUCUACAGCUUAUAUCAAACGACAAGGUCAAAAGCGUGAAUCACAGGGUGUUGGCGAAACGAGCAUGGCCUAGAAUAUCAGUGGCAUGUUUUCUGAGAAUGCAAGCGAAUAACAAAGGAAAUGAAUCGAGACUUUAUGGACCAAUCAAGGAACUGUUGUCUGAAAACAAUCCUCCAAUCUACAGAGAAAUCUUGAUCAAGGACUAUUUGUCACAACAUUACUCAAAAGGGCUCAGCGGUAGCGAUUCACUUUCACAUUUCAAGCUGUCUGAAAAUUAGUCUACGUAAGAUCAUUGCAGGCAAAACUUAUGAGUUGCAGAAGAGAUAGUAGUUCUUAAUUACUUUUUGAAUAAUUUAAAUUUGUAUACAUAUAUGAUGAACAAGUUAAGCACAAGUAUGUUCUGCCUUUGUCCCUGUCCGUACAUUGCUCUGUUUUUAAUCUUUAUGAAGAAAAAAUAGUGGAUAGUGAAGAGUAUGGGACCAAGCAGCUAUCACUGGUAUCAUCGUUUUCGACGUGGCUGAUUAAUAAACAAAUUUCCAUCCUUUUCUGAAUCGUUUUUUUCGAAAUUGAAUAAAAGGAAUUGAUUAAUUAUAAAAAUAUUCAGGUGUAAAAUCUUAUAUAAGAAUGAUCUAUUUUAUACAGUGAUUAUUAAUGCUGCUAACUUGACCGGCAGUAUCAUCCCUCAUCAUUACCCAAUGAUUAUAUAUUUUAAAAAAAAUAAUUAUUUUUGUGCCGUUACUGUGUCUAAUGACACCAGUAUGUAUUUUCUCAAAUACCCUUUAAAAAUAUGAGUAACUAGGGAGGAAAAAAUUAAUAUUUUAAUAGGUGUCGUUUUCUUCUUUAGCGGCAGCAGAGAAAUUUUAUUUUUAAAAGUGUCAAAUAAAAAGUCAAUAUACUUUUCGAUGCCGCCAUUCUUCUUGGUGGCACUGAUGUCUUUUCUAAAAAAAUAAAUUUUUAUGUCGUUGAUCUAUUAGGUAACCCUGUUAAAAUUUUUUAAAAACUCAAUAAUAUGAACAUUAAAAAUUCUGACAAAACUCAUUGAAAAAUUUCAUUGCAUCGCUAAAGAAGUGAGUAGUAAAACAAGACAAAACCCACAAAAAAUAAACAUGGAAAAGAAAUAUAUACCUAGAAAAGUUUUUUUGCAAGAGUAGAGUAAUGAAGCGAAAACUUUGAAAUCUUCACUCUUUAAGAAAAUAUAUUGAGAAUGAAAAUUUAAGAAAAAUUGAAAGUUUGUUUCAAAAUAAAACUUCUUUUUGAAUAUUUCAGCAACAUAUAAAGUUGAACCCAAUUUUAUUAUAAAAAUAAUUAUUAGUUCUAUUCAAUGUCUUGUAAGUUGAACACAUUUAAAAUACUUUAACUUUUAAUCUGUGUGUAGAUUCUCAAUAUUGAGAAUUAAAAUAUUGUCUCAAGAAUCUACAUUGAAUAGAACUAUAAAGGAUACAAGAGAUCAAUGUUAUGAAAAUGCAAUGUGGUUUUCACGGGGAGGAUCUUUGGGAGCAACCAUUAAAGGAGGAGAGUGAACAGAUUGCCCAUGUUUAUUUUAAGGACAUGCUGGUUGGGUUCAAAAGAUUGAUAGGGCAGGUGGUGCAGGACAAGGAUGAGGAUGAUGUUUAGUUGCUUGAGGGGGACAUGAUUGUUGGAAUAGAGGACAACAUGUCGACGAUUAUAUUUUCUGGUCGUGUUCACUAGAUUUUGUAUAAGAGCAUGUCAAAAACGAUCAUGGAUUUAUAGAAUGAUUAUUAUUUGGUUAAGCCAUAGGAGGUUAUGUUUGAACUUUUACUGAAGGUCCGUGGAUAGUGUUUGGUCAUUAUCUCACGGUGCAACCUUGGUCUGAAUAUUUUUCCAUGAGUUAACCAUUCUCAUCUAGUGUCGUCGUAUGGAUUCGAUCCCCAGGUGUUUUGGGCUUUAUGUAUAGAAGAAGUGUAAUUAAGUUGAUUGGGGAAAUAGUUUGCGGGGCAAGUUUGUUCGUUUGGAAUUUAUGGUUAACCUGAAUAAACCAUUACUAUCUAGGAUUAAAGUAGAUGGUCAAGUGUAAAGGGUGGAGUAUGAAUCUCUUCCUAACACAUGCUUUGUGUAUGGUCACUAUGGUCAUAUGAAAAAGCUGUGUCCGGCUUUUUAUUUUCAGGAGAAGCAAGGAGGUGAUGAUGUUGUAUUGCAUUCGGUUACACUCUCAGUGGACUUAAGGUUAAUCAUGAAAGAAUCGAAGAGUAUGGUCCUUGGAUGGUAGUUGAUCUGUGUUCAAGGAGAGCUGAUCGGAGUAAGGGCUCUGACAAGGAUGACAAGGUAAGUGCAAAUCUUUAGGGAUCCCGAUUAAUGCUCUGCAAGAUUUAAGGGAAAAUGAAUUAGGGAAUGUGCAGAUUUCUAAGUGUGGAAUUAUUGCUAAAUCUAAGGGAAAAGGUUUGGCCAUUUAUGAUAAUCCAUUGGGGUCGGUGAUUCAAUUAUGGAUCGUGACAAUGGGAAGGGAUUUGGGUCGUGUUGAUUUGUUAAGGCCUCUGAGAUUGUCAACAGGAAAGGCUGUGUCUUUGGGGACUCGUCUAAUAGGUCUAGCGGGUCCACUAUUAAUUCUACUAUUAAUAAGGGAAUGGGCCAGAUUGGGAAUGAUAUGUUUUCUUUGGUUAAUUUAGGGGUUAAUGCCCAACUUGAAGAUAAGUGAACUUCGUUGCAAGAUAACACUUCAUGACAAAUUGAAUUGACGACGAUUGGGGGUAGAGGUGUGUAUGGGCCAGGCCACCCGGCCCGACCCGAAGGCCCGCCUGAAAUGUGGGAGGGUUUGGGCAAAAAUAUAGGCCCGAAAAAUAGGCUUAGGCAAAAAAAUUAAGGCCCGUUUAAAAAACGAGCUGAGCCUCGGGUAAGGCAUUUUUUACUCGGGCCAUGCUCGAAUUCACUAAAUAACAAAAAAAAUUAUAUUUUAAAAAAUUAUUUUCUUAUUAUUUUCUCCCUAUUUUGCUACUAUUUUACUAUUAUGUUGCUACUAUUUUGUUGUUAUUGUUUGGAUAUUGUAUAAAACUUAUUUUAUUGUUAAUUUUUUUAUUAUUUUAAAGAUAUUUGUUAAUUUUAUUAUUAUUUUAUAGGCAUUUGCUUGUUAAGUUGUAUCUAUUUUAGUGUUAUUUAAGUAUACAUAUUUUUAAAUUUUAUUUUCAAUUUGUUGAGAAAUAUUUAUUUUGAUAUUUUUACUAUUUUUGAUGGUUUAUAUAUAUAUUUUAAAAUUAUAUAAAAAUAAUAUAAAAAUUAAUAUAGGCGGGCUAAGUCGAGUUUGGGUUUUAACAUUUUUAUUCGGGCCAAGCUUGGGCAAAAUUUAUGCCUAUUUUUCGGGCGCGACGGGCCUGGGCCUAGCAAACAGGUCUAAAUUUUUAGUUGGGCUCGACCCGAACCCGGCCCGGCCUAGCCCAUGCACACCUCUAAUUGGGGGGUCUAGUUCGUUGGUGGAAAAAAUCAUGAGGACCACGCUUAAUGUGGAUAAUCAUUCUGUGAAAAAAAUGUGAUUGUUAUAACUAUUAAAAAAAUAUUUUUUAAAAAAGGGUGGCCGAAGAAGUUGUUAUUACAACUAUUAAAAAAGAUUUUUUUAAAAUGUAUACAACUUUUUCAAUAAAGGGCGGCUAUUACAACUUUAUUUCAUUCAACUUUUUCAAUAAACGGUGGCUGUUAAAUCUUUAUUUUAAGGGUAAAGUGUCUUAAUUACAACUAAAAGAAAAUAUUUUAAAUUUAUUUAUUUUUUCUAAACCUCUGUUCAUCAAUCAAUUCAACGGACAUUUUAUUUAGAAACUUUUUAAUAAUCACAGUUUUCCUUAUAAUAAUCACUUUUUUUAAAAAAUUAAAUUGAUCAUUUAUCAACUUUAUUAUAGAGGAAGGGAUGUUGUUGGAGAAGAAAGAGAAAAAAAAGGAAAGAGCUUUAUUAUGAGAUUUUAGUAACGGUGAUGAUGUUUCUUCUUCUUUGUCUCACGCUUAUAAAAGUGUAUUUCUUUUUGCUACACUAGACUAGAGAAUGGAUGACAAAAUUAUUUGUUUUUUUAAAAAAUUUGGUGCCACAUGAUAGAACGACAACGCACAAUUUUUUUAAAAAUUUAUUUAGUGCAGCCAUAGAAGCUGGCCACCCAUUAAAAAAUAUAUUUUAAAAAAUCUCUAGUGUCGCCAAAGAGGUCGGUGACACCAAUUAAUUUCUUUUUCUUUUUUUUUCUCCUAAAUAUUCGUAUUUUUUAUGGGUAUGUAGAAAAAAUACAUACCGGUGCCACUGGAUAUAAUGGUAGCACCCAAAAAUAUAUAUUUUUUUAAAAGAAUGAUAAUUGCCUGAUGAUGAGGGGGUGAUGUCACCAAUGGGUAUAACGACAUCAGCGUGCACAGUAGAAAACAAAUCAUUCUCGUACAAUUUUUGGUGUUGAGUUAUUUUCAUAAUUAAUUAUUUUAUUUAGGUCAAUUUAAAUAAAAAAAUUAAAUAAACCUCAAAACUCAAAAUCAAAACAAAUUUUUUUAAAAUUUUAAAAAUCGAAUUUAGGGAUGAGAUGGAAGAAAUUAGUUUAUCAUUAAAAAUUUUGUUGGGUUAGUAUCAAGUUUAAAAAAAAUUAUCUUACUCUGUUAUGAUAUAUUUACAAAAUACAUCUCUUUUAAUUUUAUAACUAUUUUCCUGUUUUUAAUUAUAAUUCCAUAAUUUUAUAAUAUGACUAACAUAUAUUGUAAUUUUAUAAAUAUUAUUAAUUUUUAAGGUUUUAUAAUGCAUGGUUUAAUUUUGUAAAAUUUAAUAGAUUAUAAUUUCGGAGCAUGGGACCAAGCAGCUAUCAUCAGUCUUAUCGUUUUCGACGUGGCUGAUUACCAUCCGCAUUACUGAUAAACAAAUUUCCAUGCUUUCUAACCUCAUUUGUCAUUCUCAGAAAAUUUCAAAUGCUUUUGUUACAUUAAAACGGAAGGAACAAAACACAGUUAAAAAAUGGUGGUCACCAGUGGAGCUGACGUUCAUGAUGAUUCCAACAACUACGACAAAGAAAAGGAACUGAAAGCAUUCGACAAUUCAAAAGCCGGUGUCAAAGGUCUGGUAGAUGCUGGAAUCACUAAGGUUCCUCGUAUGUUCAUCCGUUCAGACAUUUCAUCGAACACUUUAGAGACAACCAAGAAAACCCAAUACAAUAUUCCAGUUAUUGAUCUACAAGGGAUCGAAGAUGAUCCACGGCGGCAUAAAGAGAUCAGUGACGAAGUCAGGCAUGCAUCAGAGACAUGGGGCUUCUUCCAGAUUGUCAACCAUGGGAUACCUGUAAGUGUUCUUGAAGAUCAUAUUGGUGGUCUCCAAGUACUUCAUGAAGACAAAUGGAUUGAUGUGCCUUGUUCUCCUGGGGCUCUAGUGAUUAACAUCGGUGAUCUUUUACACGUUAAUCCGUUGUCACUCCCGACUCUUUAUUUUCCUUAAAGCACUCAUGUCUAAAACUUAUGUCUUGAAUGCUAGUGAAUAUUUGGGAAAUUUCAACUUAUU
rnacentral:lncRNA from 1 species